AUUGCUUUUCGGUUCCUUGGAGCUCAGAUAAAAGUGUUGUGUCUGUUCUUAUCAGUUUAGUCUCUGAUACAUCCUUGAUGUGAGGACUGUAUAUUAACUUGAUUUUUGAAGCAGGGGGGGUUAGAACAGAAGCUUGCUUUGUCUGCCCUAUGGAUUGACCUGGUAUUGCAGUGUUUCCAGGAAUGGUGUAUCUCCU